AGUUUGUGCAGUCAAUUGUGCCCUUAGUAAUGUGUGUAUCUCUAUUUAUAGUUUACUAUUGUUUGUCUCCCCAACACACCUCAAGACAUCUGUUAGCAAGUUGUACACCGUAGCAGCAUUAUCAGCCCAGACUCCAUCACAACAGCAGUAUAUAAUAGCUUCACGCUUCACACGUCGCCACACUCCAUCACAACAGCCAUUUUGAUGAGUUACAUUCAUUUGAAAAAUGGAGAGUUUCAGAAAUACGUUACGUAAAAUUGACGCGACUAUUAUAGAAAUGAAAAAAAAAACUAUUCCAAACAA